CGCCCUCUCGGCUUGCUCCAGUGUUUUGCUUUCUUUUUCCAGCCCCCUGCCUCGCUCUCGCGUACAGGACCACAAUGCUUCGCGCUGCUUGUCAUAGGAAAGCGCCGAAGGGUUUCACAGAUGAUUGGAAAAAAACAAGAGUUGGUUCUACAUUCCAGACCCAAGCAGGCACAAACCUACGAGCCAAGGAAGCCAGUAUUUGGCCAUCCGUCCAUCCAUCUGCAUGUCCCAGGGGUGCACAAACAGGGAACAAUUUAGCCUUUCAGCCGCCUUCAAAGAAGCAAUGAGAGAGAGAGAGAGCAUUACUUGGAUGAGCCAGCAAACACAAGAUACUGUUUUGGGAAAAUUGCUUUUCUCUAAGUCUAUAUUGGUCUGGACAAAGAAAGUGAAAUACUUUUUAA